GACGAACGCUGGCGGCGUGCCUAAUACAUGCAAGUCGAGCGAUGAAGCUUGGUGCUUGCACCAAUUUGAAGAGCAGCGAACGGGUGAGUAACGCGUGGGUAAUCUGCCUUUGAGCGGGGGACAACAUUUGGAAACGAAUGCUAAUACCGCAUAACAACUUUAAACAUAAGUUUUAAGUUUGAAAGAUGCAAUUGCAUCACCCAAAGAUGAUCCCGCGUUGUAUUAGCCAGUUGGUGAGGUAAAGGCUCACCAAGGCGAUGAUACAUAACCGACCUGAGAAGGUGAUCGGCCACAUUGGGACUGAGACACGGCCCAAACCCCUACGGGAAGCAGCAGGAGGGGAUCUUCGGCAAUGGACGAAAGUCUGACCGGGCAACGCCGCGUGGGGGAAGGAGGGUUUCGGAUCGUAAAACUCUGUUGGUAGAGAAGAAAGUUGGUGAGAGUGGAAAGCUCAUAAAGUGACGGUAACUACCCAGAAAGGGACGGCUAACUACGUG
rnacentral:rRNA from 1 species